UUCCAGACUCCUACGGGAGGCAGCAGUGGGGAAUAUUGCACAAUGGGGGAAACCCUGAUGCAGCGACGCCGCGUGAGUGAAGAAGUAUUUCGGUAUGUAAAGCUCUAUCAGCAGGGAAGAAAAUGACGGUACCUGAUUAAGAAGCCCCGGCUAACUACGUGCCAACAGCCGCGGUAAUACGUAGGGGGCAAGCGUUAUCCGGAUUUACUGGGUGUAAAGGGAGCGUAGACGGUGAUGCAAGUCAGAAGUGAAAGCCCGGGGCUCAACUCCGGGACUGCUUUUGAAACUGUGUGACUGGAGUGCAGGAGAGGUAAGCGGAAUUCCUGGUGUAGCGGUGAAAUGCGUAGAUAUCAGGAGGAACACCAGUGGCGAAGGCGGCUUACUGGACUGUAACUGACGUUGAGGCUCGAAAGCGUGGGGAGCAAACAGGAUUAGAUACCCUGGUAC
rnacentral:rRNA from 1 species